rnacentral:rRNA from 1 species
GAUGAACGCUAGCUACAGGCUUAACACAUGCAGGUCGAGGGGAAACGAUAGAGAAAGCUUGCUUUUUCUAGGCGUCGACCGGCGCACGGGUGAGUAACGCGUAUCCAACCUGCCCAUCACUUGGGGAUAACCUUGCGAAAGUAAGACUAAUACCCAAUGACGUCUCUAGAAGACAUCUGAAAGAGAUUAAAGAUUUAUCGGUGAUGGAUGGGGAUGCGUCUGAUUAGCUUGUUGGCGGGGUAACGGCCCACCAAGGCGACGAUCAGUAGGGGUUCUGAGAGGAAGGGCCCCCACAUUGGAACUGAGACACGGUCCAAACUCCUACGGGAGGCAGCAGUGAGGAAUAUUGGUCAAUGGGCGAGAGCCUGAACCAGCCAAGUAGCGUGCAGGAUGACGGCCCUAUGGGUUGUAAACUGCUUUUAUAAGGGAAUAAAGUGAGUCUCGUGAGACUUUUUGCAUGUACCUUAUGAAUAAGGACCGGCUAAUUCCGUGCCAGCCGCCGCAGUAA